rnacentral:rRNA from 1 species
AUAAUGGGUCAGCGACUUAUAUUCUGUAGCAAGGUUAACCGAAUAGGGGAGCCGAAGGGAAACCGAGUCUUAACUGGGCGUUAAGUUGCAGGGUAUAGACCCGAAACCCGGUGAUCUAGCCAUGGGCAGGUUGAAGGUUGGGUAACACUAACUGGAGGACCGAACCGACUAAUGUUGAAAAAUUAGCGGAUGACUUGUGGCUGGGGGUGAAAGGCCAAUCAAACCGGGAGAUAGCUGGUUCUCCCCGAAAGCUAUUUAGGUAGCGCCUCGUGAAUUCAUCUCCGGGGGUAGAGCACUGUUUCGGCAAGGGGGUCAUCCCGACUUACCAACCCGAUGCAAACUGCGAAUACCGGAGAAUGUUAUCACGGGAGACACACGGCGGGUGCUAACGUCCGUCGUGAAGAGGGAAACAACCCAGACCGCCAGCUAAGGUCCCAAAGUCAUGGUUAAGUGGGAAACGAUGUGGGAAGGCCCAGACAGCCAGGAUGUUGGCUUAGAAGCAGCCAUCAUUUAAAGAAAGCGUAAUAGCUCACUGGUCGAGUCGGCCUGCGCGGAAGAUGUAACGGGGCUAAACCAUGCACCGAAGCUGCGGCAGCGACGCUGAUGCGUUGUUGGGUAGGGGAGCGUUCUGUAAGCCUGUGAAGGUGUGCUGUGAGGCAUGCUGGAGGUAUCAGAAGUGCGAAUGCUGACAUAAGUAACGAUAAAGCGGGUGAAAAGCCCGCUCGCCGGAAGACCAAGGGUUCCUGUCCAACGUUAAUCGGGGCAGGGUGAGUCGACCCCUAAGGCGAGGCCGAAAGGCGUAGUCGAUGGGAAACAGGUUAAUAUUCCUGUACUUGGUGUUACUGCGAAGGGGGGACGGAGAAGGCUAUGUUGGCCGGGCGACGGUUGUCCCGGUUUAAGCGUGUAGGCUGGUUUUCCAGGCAAAUCCGGAAAAUCAAGGCUGAGGCGUGAUGACGAGGCACUACGGUGCUGAAGCAACAAAUGCCCUGCUUCCAGGAAAAGCCUCUAAGCAUCAGGUAACAUCAAAUCGUACCCCAAACCGACACAGGUGGUCAGGUAGAGAAUACCAAGGCGCUUGAGAGAACUCGGGUGAAGGAACUAGGCAAAAUGGUGCCGUAACUUCGGGAGAAGGCACGCUGAUAUGUAGGUGAAGUCCCUCGCGGAUGGAGCUGAAAUCAGUCGAAGAUACCAGCUGGCUGCAACUGUUUAUUAAAAACACAGCACUGUGCAAACACGAAAGUGGACGUAUACGGUGUGACGCCUGCCCGGUGCCGGAAGGUUAAUUGAUGGGGUCAGCGCAAGCGAAGCUCUUGAUCGAAGCCCCGGUAAACGGCGGCCGUAACUAUAACGGUCCUAAGGUAGCGAAAUUCCUUGUCGGGUAAGUUCCGACCUGCACGAAUGGCGUAAUGAUGGCCAGGCUGUCUCCACCCGAGACUCAGUGAAAUUGAACUCGCUGUGAAGAUGCAGUGUACCCGCGGCAAGACGGAAAGACCCCGUGAACCUUUACUAUAGCUUGACACUGAACAUUGAGCCUUGAUGUGUAGGAUAGGUGGGAGGCUUUGAAGUGUGGACGCCAGUCUGCAUGGAGCCGGCCUUGAAAUACCACCCUUUAAUGUUUGAUGUUCUAACGUUGACCCGUGAUCCGGGUUGCGGACAGUGUCUGGUGGGUAGUUUGACUGGGGCGGUCUCCUCCUAAAGAGUAACGGAGGAGCACGAAGGUUGGCUAAUCCUGGUCGGACAUCAGGAGGUUAGUGCAAUGGCAUAAGCCAGCUUGACUGCGAGCGUGACGGCGCGAGCAGGUGCGAAAGCAGGUCAUAGUGAUCCGGUGGUUCUGAAUGGAAGGGCCAUCGCU